rnacentral:rRNA from 1 species
AGCUAAUAGAUACCCGGGUAGUCCCAGCAGUAAACGGUGCGCGUUUGGUGUGAGCAGAUUCGACUCUGUUCGCGCCGGAGCUAACGCGUUAAACGCGCCGCCUGGGAAGUACGAUCGCAAGAUUAAAACUCAAAGAAAUUGACGGGGGCCCGCACAAGCGGUGGAGUAUGUGGCUUAAUUCGAUGCAACGCGAAGAACCUUACCUGGGUUUGACAUGCAUCUCUAAGGAGGUGAAAGCUUCCGAGGGUAGCAAUACCCGAUUUGCACAGGUGCUGCAUGGCUGUCGUCAGCUCGUGUCGUGAGAUGUUGGGUUAAGUCCCGCAACGAGCGCAACCCUUGUAUGCUGUUGCUAUGCUUACGCAUAGCUCUCUGCGUAGACUGCCCCGUGAAACGGGGAGGAAGGUGGGGAUGACGUCAAGUCAGCAUGGCCCUUACACCCAGGGCUGCACACGUACUACAAUGCUCAGUACAAUUAGAACCUGCCCCGUGAGGGUUGGG